GAUGAACGCUAGCGGCAGGCUUAAUACAUGCAAGUCGAGGGACAGCACAGGUAGCAAUACUGGGUGGUAACCGGCAAACGGGUGCGGAACACGUACACAACCUUCCUUUAAGUGGGGGAUAGCCCAGAGAAAUUUGGAUUAAUACCCCGUAAUAUAGUUGAAUGGCAUCAUUUGAUUAUUAUAGCUACGGCGCUUAAUGAUGGGUGUGCGGCUGAUUAGAUAGUUGGCGGGGUAACGGCCCACCAAGUCUACGAUCAGUAGCUGAUGUGAGAGCAUGAUCAGCCACCCGGGAACUGAGACACGGGCCCGACUCCUACGGGAGGCAGCAGUAAGGGAUAUUGGUCAAUGAACGCAAGUCUGAACCAGCCAUGCUGCGUGAAGGAUUAAGGUCCUCUGGAUUGUAAACUUCUUUUAUUUGGGACGAAAAAGGGCCUUUCUAGGUCAACUGACGGUACCAGAUGAAUAAGCACCGGCUAACUCCGUGCCAGCAGCCGCCGUAAUAC
rnacentral:rRNA from 1 species